rnacentral:rRNA from 1 species
GACGUAGGGCGCGAGCGUUGUCCGGAUUUAUUGGGCGUAAAGAGCUCGUAGGUGCUUAGUAAGUCGGGUGUGAAACCUCCAGGCUCAACCUGGAGACGCCACCCGAUACUGCUAUAGCUUGAGUCCGGUAGGGGAGCGUGGAAUUCCUGGUGUAGCGGUGAAAUGCGCAGAUAUCAGGAGGAACACCGCGGCGAAGGCGGCGCUCUGGGCCGGUACUAACACUGAGGAGCGAAAGCGUGGGGGAGCAA